AAGCAUGAAGCCCCCCUCAAGAUGAGAUUUCCCAACUUCGGUUAUAAGAUCCCUCAAAGAUGAUGAGGUUAAUAGGUUCGAGGUGGAAGCGUAGCGAUACGUGGAGCUGACGAAUACUAAUCGAUCGAAGACUUAAUCAA
rnacentral:rRNA from 1 species